UUCUGGAAAAUGUAUUGGUCAAACUGGAGAUAUCCUCAGUACAAUGCCAUUCGGUUUCUCAUGACAGUAGUCAUUGGUGUCUUGUUUGGUCUACUUUUCUGGCAAACAGGAACUAAAAUGUAAGGCAUCUUCUUUUCUCUAUUCCAUAAGUAAACUAUCAUCUUAUCAAAAUGUGACGUAUUCAUCCAAAAACACCAAAACAGAGAGAAAGAGCAAGACCUGAAUAAUUUCUUUGGAGCCAUGUAUGCUGCUGUAUUGUUCCUCGGUGCCACCAACGCUGCAACAGUUCAACCCGCAGUUGCUAUUGAGCGAACGGUUUUCUACCGCGAAAAAGCCGCUGGAAUGUACUCCGCCAUUCCCUAUGCAAUUUCUCAGGUACUUAACCAUUCUAAUAAUUUUGCCUCAACUUUUAUAUGCUACUUUUCCUAAGAUAUGGUUAUCUAAAAAUGAUGCAGGUAGCAGUAGAAAUCAUGUACAACACUAUACAAACCGGAGUUUACACACUUAUCCUUUACUCGAUGAUCGGAUACGACUGGACUGUGGUCAAAUUCUUCUGGUUCUACUACUACAUGUUAACAUGCUUCGUCUACUUCACCCUAUACGGUAUGAUGCUUGUCGCCUUGACACCAAACUAUCAAAUAGCUGGAAUCUGCUUGUCCUUCUUCCUCAGUUUCUGGAAUCUUUUCUCCGGUUUCCUCAUCCCUAGACCGGUAAAUAAACUAAGCAACUUCCAUUUGAAUUAAUAAUAUAAAAAAAAAGUGUUUUAAGAGCUAGACUAAACUUUUAACUUUUGAUGCAGCAAAUACCAAUAUGGUGGAGAUGGUACUAUUGGGCAUCACCUGUGGCUUGGACAUUGUAUGGAAUCAUCACAUCUCAAGUAGGAGACAGGGAUUCGAUUGUGCACAUCACUGGUGUUGGAGAUAUGAGUCUUAAAACGUUGCUCAAAAAUGGAUUCGGGUUCGAUUAUGACUUCUUACCAGUUGUAGCCGUUGUCCACAUCGCCUGGAUCUUGAUCUUUCUCUUUGCCUUUGCUUAUGGUAUCAAGUUCCUCAACUUCCAAAGAAGGUGAAGAAAACUUUUAUUAGAAUAGAUUUCAAAAAUCUUUAUAGAUUAGUGUUUGAAUGAAUUCAUGUAAAUUUUCUUUGUCUUACCUAAUUAUUUAUUUAUUGUCGUUUGGUAAUAAUAAAUAAC
rnacentral:lncRNA from 1 species